rnacentral:rRNA from 1 species
AUUGAACGCUGGCGGCAUGCCUUACACAUGCAAGUCGAACGGUAACAGGUCUUCGGAUGCUGACGAGUGGCGAACGGGUGAGUAAUACAUCGGAACGUGCCUAGUAGUGGGGGAUAACCACUCGAAAGAGUGGCUAAUACCGCAUGAGAUCUACGGAUGAAAGCAGGGGAUCGCAAGACCUUGUGCUACUACAGCGGCCGAUGGCAGAUUAGGUAGUUGGUGGGAUAAAAGCUUACCAAGCCGACGAUCGGUAGCUGGUCUGAGAGGACGAUCAGCCACACUGGGACUGAGACACGGCCCAGACUCCUACGGGAGGCAGCAGGGGGGAAUUUUGGACAAUGGGCGAAAGCCUGAUCCAGCAAUGCCGCGUGCAGGAUGAAGGCCUUCGGGUUGUAAACUGCUUUUGUACGGAACGAAAAGCCCCGGGUUAAUACCCUGGGGUCAUGACGGUACCGUAAGAAUAAGCACCGGCUAACUACGUGCCAGCAGCCGCCGUAA